rnacentral:rRNA from 1 species
UACGAAGGGGGCUAGCGUUGCUCGGAAUCACUGGGCGUAAAGGGUGCGUAGGCGGGUCUUUUAAGUCAGAGGUGAAAUCCCAAGGCUCAACCUUGGAACUGCCUUUGAUACUGGGGAUCUUGAGUCCGGGAGAGGUGAGUGGAACUGCGAGUGUAGAGGUGAAAUUCGUAGAGAUUGGGUGGAACACCAGUGGCGAAGGCGCCUAUCUGGCUGACAACUGACGCUGAGACUCGAAAGCAUGGGGAGCAAACAGG